UGGAAAUGUGCACUGUGACAAAUGCUACUUGCCCUGAACGUUUGCCACAAAUUCAUGGAGGAGCAUAGAAGCUGGCCUCCUGCCCGCCAACUAUCGGCCAUAUACAAAGACUCUGUUCUGGAGUUAAAUCUCCCCAACCACCAUUAGUAGCUUGCCCUGUGUGCCCCUGGUUCGGCACUUUCCCUUCAUGCGAAUGGAACUGAAAGCUGGCUCUCUGGAGGCCGUUUGCAUGAACCAAACCCACAAAUAGUCCCAGCGGUAUUUUGGCAUGAGAACUUUGUGGGUUUCCGGUCACCUCAGUCGGACUUAGCCACGAAUGUUAUGGAACUGUUUUAGGUAUUAGGUGACCGUGCAGUUCCUGGAAGACAUGGUUCACGGUUUUGAACCACUUUGAAAUCCGCCAGGAGAGUGCUAUUUGGAGGGGAGUGCAAGGAACAGAAGACUGCAAUGGUGGUGGAUGUGGCAAUACCCAGUGACUAUAACAUCAGGAAGGUCUUACAAACACAGAG